rnacentral:rRNA from 1 species
GAAUAUUGGACAAUGGGCGGAAGCCUGAUCCAGCCAUGCCGCGUGUGUGAAGAAGGCCUUUUGGUUGUAAAGCACUUUAAGCGAGGAGGAGUACCCCUUGGUUAAUACCCAAGUUCCUUGGCCGUCCCUCGCAGAACAAGCCCCGGCGACCCAUGUGCCAGCAGCCGCGGUAAUACAGAGGGUGCAAGCGUUAAUCGGAUUUACUGGGCGUAAAGCGCGCGUAGGUGGCCAAUUAAGUCAAAUGUGAAAUCCCCGAGCUUAACUUGGGAAUUGCAUUCGAUACUGGUUGGCUAGAGUAUGGGAGAGGAUGGUAGAAUUCCAGGUGUAGCGGUGAAAUGCGUAGAGAUCUGGAGGAAUACCGAUGGCGAAGGCAGCCAUCUGGCCUAAUACUGACACUGAGGUGCGAAAGCAUGGGGAGCAAACA